AAUUUCUGGUAUGGUGCGCCCGGCCGAUGGGGGCAACUCUGUCAGUGCUGGUGUGCGCCUGCCUUUUAUGGAAGCUGUACACGCACUUCACUGUGUGGGUAAAGUUCUCCAUCUUUUACUUUGAAAAAAUUAGAGUGUUUAAAGCAAGCAAUCGCUAUGAAUAUAUUAGCAUGGAAUAAUAAUUUAGGACUUUGUUUCUAUUUUAUUGGUUCUGAGAGACGAAGUAAUGAUUGAUAGGGAUAGUUGGGGGUGCUAGUAUUCAUCGGCCAGAGGUGAAAUUCUUGGAUUCGAUGAAGACUAACUAAUGCGAAAGCAUU
rnacentral:rRNA from 1 species